rnacentral:rRNA from 1 species
CCUACGGGAGGCAGCAGUAGGGAAUAUUGCUCAAUGGGGGAAACCCUGAAGCAGCAACGCCGCGUGGAGGAUGAAGGUUUUCGGAUUGUAAACUCCUUUUGGUAGAGAAGAAAAUGACGGUAUCUAACGAAUAAGCACCGGCUAACUCCGUGCCAGCAGCCGCGGUAAUACGGAGGGUGCAAGCGUUACUCGGAAUCACUGGGCGUAAAGAGAGCGUAGGCGGGAAAGCAAGUCCGAUGUGAAAGCCUAGGGCUCAACCACCGAACUGCUUUUGAAACUGUUAUUCUGGAGUAUGGGAGGGGUAGGUGGAAUUCUGGGUGUAGCGGUGAAACCCGUAGAUAUCAGGAGGAAUACUGGUGGCGAAGGCGGCCUGCUAGACUGUAACUGACGUUGAGGCUCGAAAGCGUGGGGAGCAAACAGGAUUAGAUACCCUUGUAGUC